UUUUCCUUCAGAGUUGCAGAGAGUGAGAAAAAGUUCCAGAAAAUUGUUUUCUCUUCUUUCGUAUUCUUCAUUGUUGUUCUUUGUGAGGUUCUAAGUGAAUCGAGUUGGGAAACAAAAGAGAGAGGGUGUAAAAAGGGAUUUGCGUUGGUUUUGGGUAUCUUUGUGAUUCCACCCUUAUAGAUCUGAAACUAGACUUGUAAAAACUAGCAACUCAAUAAGAAAAACAAAGUCUCUCACCGGAGCAGCGGGGACGUAGGCAAUUUGCCGAACCUCGAUAAAUCUUGGUGUCUUUGAGUGAUAAUUGUUUUAGUUUUGUUCUUUGAUUUCAUAACAAGAAGAAGAGGAGGGUAUUUGUAAUGGGUUCAUCGGAAAAUGGAGAAGAAGUUGGGUUGUGGAAAGAGGGUUUUGAUAAAGCUGCCAACUUGUGUUAUUUCCGAAGGAGUUUGGCUAGCUGCUUCCUCUAUGGCAAAAUCAGCUAGUACUUAUUCAAAAAAGCUCAUUUCUGUGACAUAUAUAUUGCUACUGCCGUGAGACAUACGCUUCACCCAGUUCUUACAGUUCGGUUAAGCAACGGAGAUUCCGUACACAACCUCUACAUCUAUAUAUAUUUACAUGCUCAUAUAUUGACCGUACCCAAAUUAGCUACUAGCUAAUAAUAAGCGGCCAAUUUAAUAAAAUCGUCAUUAAUUCUGACAUCACAAAUGGCAAGUACUGGUGAGAAAUCUAUGAUUAGUAUUCUGAGCAUCGAUGGUGGGGGAGUCAGAGGAAUCAUCCCCUCAAUAAUUCUCCAGAAACUUGAAGAGGAGCUCCAGGAACUGGAUGGUCCUGACGCUAGGAUUGCGGACUACUUUGACUACAUUGCCGGGACAAGCACCGGAGGCCUAAUAACAGCCAUGCUUACCCACACCAAAUGAAAAUAACCGGCCUCUAUAUUCUGCAAAAGAUAUUGUCAAAUUCUAUGAAGUUCAUAGUAAAGAUAUCUUUCCAGGAUGGUCGGAAUCAGAAAAAGGCUCAACGUGGUUCGUUAAAGACUUAGCGUUGGGAAUUUAUAAUAAACUCAAAACUUUUUUAUAAAUAUGAACAAAAUCUCGAACGUCCCGUGUACGAUGGUGUUAAUCUUCAUCGCAAAAUCAAAUAUAUAUUGAAGGAAAAAAGGAUAAGAGAUACACUCACCAAUGUCAUUAUUCCAUCUUUUGAUCUCUUAGGCUUCCACCCCGUCAGCUUCACCACCGUAAAGGUCUUUUUAUUUUAUUUUUGCUGAUAUUAGGAGUAGAGUAUUAAGUAUUUCGAACUCCAUUUAAGAUUUUUGUCUGAGAAAACAAUGCUAAUUUUUUCAGUUAACAUUGAAAUUGGGUGAUAUCCAACAUCGGUCUAAUUCAGUUAGUUUUCGGUUUAGCUUUCUAAAUUUUGCAGAUUUGUUUGCAAUUUGUGAGGUAAUGAAGGAGAUAUCGAAAAAUAAAAUUUUUUCUUCCUUGAACAACACGGAUUGCAUUAGGUUUCUUGUACUUUCCCUUGGAACUGGAUCUGCUAAGAGGGCUGAAAAUUUGAUAGUUGGAGAUCCCAAAACUUUGGGGACUCUAUCAGUGGUUCAUUAGGCCAGACGGUAUUACAACCCCAUUAAUGGAUGUUUUCUCCACUGCAAUGGAUGAUAUGGUUGAAAACUACUUGUCUAUUUUCUAUGGAUUCUCUGGCUUUAAGGACAACUAUUUACGGAUUCUGGUAAACCAAUAAUCCAUUUAAGCAACUAUUGAACACGAAACUCAUACCGCGCUAGUAUAUUCCAAUUAAUUUUGUUUCUUUUCGUAUUUCUAAUGACCAAGUUUACAUGAUUAACUAACUAUUCGAUGUUAAAUUAAUGUAGAAUAUAUAUUAUGCUGAAUUAAUGUUUAUAUUUAAGAAUG